rnacentral:rRNA from 1 species
GAUGAACGCUGGCUGCGUGCCUAAUACAUGCAAGUCGAGCGAACAUACGAGUAGCUUGCUCCUCUGACGUUAGCGGCUUACGUGUGAUUAACACGUGGAUAACCUACCUCUAAGACUGGGAUAACUUCGGGAAACCGGAGCUAAUACCGGAUAACAUGUUGAACCGCAUGGUUUAACACUGAAAGACGUUCUUCCUGUCACUUAUAGAUGUAUCCGCGCCGCAGUAGCUCACUGGUAAGGUAACGGCUUACCAUGGCAACGAUGCGUAGCCGCCCCGAAAGGGGGAACGGCCACAGCGGAACUGAGACACGGUCCAGACUCCUACGGGAGGCCGCAGUAGGGAAUCGUCCGCAAUGGGAGGAAGCCUGACGGAGCAACGCCGCGUGAGUGAAGAAGGUCUGCGGAUCGUAAAACUCUGUUCCUAGGGACGAACAAAUGGGGAAGUAACUAUGGACGUUGUGACGGCACCUAGUCAGAGAGGCACGGAUCACUACGUG